rnacentral:rRNA from 1 species
GAGUUUGAUCAUGGCUCAGAUUGAACGCUGGCGGCAUGCCUUACACAUGCAAGUCGAACGGCAGCACGGGAGCAAUCCUGGUGGCGAGUGGCGAACGGGUGAGUAAUAUAUCGGAACGUGCCCAGUCGUGGGGGAUAACGUAGCGAAAGCUACGCUAAUACCGCAUACGAUCUACGGAUGAAAGCGGGGGACUCGCAAGAGCCUCGCGCGAUUGGAGCGGCCGAUAUCAGAUUAGGUUGUUGGUGAGGUAAAAGCUCACCAAGCCUGCGAUCUGUAGCUGGUCUGAGAGGACGACCAGCCACACUGGAACUGAGACACGGUCCAGACUCCUACGGGAGGCAGCAGUGGGGAAUUUUGGACAAUGGACGCAAGUCUGAUCCAGCAAUGCCGCGUGCAGGACGAAGGCCUUCGGGUUGUAAACUGCUUUUGUACGGAACGAAACGGUCUUCUUUAAUACAGAGGGCUAAUGACGGUACCGUAAGAAUAAGCACCGGCUAACUACGUGCCAGCAGCCGCGGUAAUACGUAGGGUGCGAGCGUUAAUCGGAAUUACUGGGCGUAAAGCGUGCGCAGGCGGUUAUAUAAGUCAGAUGUGAAAUCCCCGGGCUCAACCUGGGACCUGCAUUUGAGACUGUAUAGCUAGAGUACGGUAGAGGGGGAUGGAAUUCGCGUGUAGCAGUGAAUGCGUAGAUUGCGGAGGACACCGAUGCGAAGCAUCCCUGGACUGUACUGA